rnacentral:lncRNA from 1 species
UGUUUCAGAUUCAUCAAUUCUUUCAAUGACAGCUUCUUCCCUGUUUUGUUCUUUGAGUUCUUCUCCAAGUGGGUGUUCUUUAGGUUUCUCGUCAAUCAUUGGUUCUUCAAGUUUCUCUUUAACAACUAGUUCUUCAGAUUUCUCUUCAACUGGUAGAUUCUCGGGUUCUUCUUCAACUGCUGGUUCUUCAAAUUUUUCAGCUGCCGAUUCGUCAGGCUUUUCUUCAACUGAUGGUUCUUCAUGUUUUUCAUCGAAUGUUGGUUCUUCAACUGUAGAUUCUUCAGAUUUCUCCUCAACUGUUGGUUCCUCAGGUUUUUGGUCAACUACUGGUUCUUGAGGUUUAUCUUCAAUUGCUGGUUCUUCAGGUUUCUUUUCUAGUUCUUCACGUGUCUCUUUAACCACUGGAUCUUCAGGUGUUUCUUUCACCUCUUGUUUUUUGUGUUUCUCCUCAAUUGCUGGUUCUUGGGGUUUCUCUUCAAAUGUUUCUGCAAUUGCCAAUUUCUGAGGUUUCUCCUUUAUUGCUGGUUCUUCAGGUUUAUCCUCAACAAUUGGUUCUUCAAGCUUUUCCUCAACCAUUGGUUCUUCAAUUUUUUCCUCAACCAUUGGUUCUUCAGGUUUUUCCUCAACUCCUGGUUCUUCAGGUUUUUUCUCAACUGCUGGAUAGUCAACAACAUCAUUGUUGGUAUUGCAUGGAGUCUGAGUGUCAGACUUCCCGUUUGAAUCUAUAACUGACAUAUUCUGUAAGAAAAAUUUGAAGUUUCACUUAGUCUUCCAAUAGAUAAACAGAUGUGAAUUGUUGCACAUUCAGAGCUAAUAGUACAGGUAAAACUUGUGAGUACUUGAUCCUCACCUCUUCCAACAAAGUUACCUUUUCAGGCUUCGCUUCAACUUCAACUGCUAGUUUUUCAAGGUUCUUUUCAAUUGCUAGAUCUUUAGUUGUUUCUUCAACUGCUGGUUCUUCAGGUUUCUCUUCAAAUGUUAGUUCUUCAAGUGUUUCUUUCCAUGCUGGUCCUGCAAGUGUUUUUUCAACUACAAGCUCUUCAGAUUUCUCUUCAACUGUUGGUUCUUCAAGUUUCUCCUUGAAAACUGGUUCUUCAGUUUGUUUUUCCACUUCUGGUUCUUCAAGUUUCUCUUCAAUCACUUGUUUUUCAUGUUUUUCUUCAACUUCCAGUUCUUCAGCUGUUGGACAGUCAGCAACACCAUUGUUGGAAUUGCCUGGAAUUUCACUGUCAAUCUUGUCCUUUGAGUCUAUAAUUGACAUAUUCUGCAAGAAAAGUUUAAAAUUAGAUUUAAUAUUCAAUAGAUUGACAUAUGUGAGUGUGUUACACAUAUAAAGCUAUUAGAAUGGAUAAACUGUGACACUGUUUAAUCCUCACCUUCUCUAGGAGAGCUUCCGUUUCUAGUUUCUGCUCUUCAAUUACUGGGUUGUCGUGUUUCUCUUUAACAACUAGCUCUUCAAAGGUCUUUUCAACCAUUGGUUCUUCAGGUUUCUCUUCAAGUGCUAGCUCUCCAAGUGUUUCCUCCCCUGCUAGCUCUUCAUGUGUUUCUUUAGCUGUUGGUUCUUCAAGUUUUUCUUCAACAGUUGGUUCUUGAGGUUUCUCCUCAGCUGGUUUUUCAUAUUUCUCCUUAAUUGCUAGUGUAUCAAGUUUCUCUUCAAUAACUGGUCCUUCAGGUUUUUCUACAACUGCUGGUUCUUCAGGGUCUUUCUCAACUUCUUGAAAGUGAGCAUCAUCAUCGUUAGUAUUGCAUGGAAUUUCACAGUCAGUUUUGUCCUUUGAGUCCGCAACUAGCAAAUUCUGCAAGAAGAAUUAAAAGUUUCACUUAGUCUUUUAGUAGAUAAAGCAGAUGUGAAUCAUUGCACAUACAUAAAUAAUAGGAUGGAUAAACUUAUGACAGUGCUUGACCCUCGCCUUAUCCAAAAGAGUUACCUUUUCAAGUUUCUCCUCUUCAACUGUUGGGUUUUCAGGUUUCUCCUCUUCAACUACUGGUUUGUCAGUUUUUUCUUCAAAUGCUAGUUCAUUAGGUGUUUCUUCCCGUUUUGAUUCCUUGAGUGUUUCUUCAGUUUUUGGUUUUUCAGGUUUCUCUUCAACCAUUGGUUCUUCAAGUUUCUCCUCCACAGUUGUUUUUUCAUGUUUCUCUUCAACUGCCAGAUCUUCAAGUUCUCUCUCAACUGUUGGUUCUUCAGGCUUCUCCAUAACCGCCAAUACUUCAGGCUUCUCUUCAAUUGUUGUUUCUUCAUGUUCUUUUUCAACUACUGGUUCUUGAGAUUUUUCCUUGACUGAUUCAUAGUCAGCAAUAUCAUUGGUGGUAUUGCAUGACAUUACAUAAUCUAUCUUGUCCUUUGAGUCUACAAUUGGAAAAUGCUGCAAGAAAAUUUAAAAGUUUUACUUAGUCUUUCAACAGAUAAACAUAUGUAAAUCCGUUGCACAUAUAAAGCUAAUAUGAUGGAUAAAUUUUGUGACAAUGUUUAAUUCUGACCUUCUCUAGAAGAGCUCCGGUUUCAGGUUUCUCCACUUCAACAACUAGUUCUUUAGGUGUCUUUUCAACCGUUGCUUCUUCAGGUUUCUCUUCAAGUGCUAGUUCUUCAGCUGUUUCCUCCCCCUCUAACUCUUCAGGUGUUUUUUUAGCUGUUCGUUCUUCAGAUUUCUCUUCAGCCGCAGGUUCUUGAGGUUUCUCUUCAAAUGGUAAUUCAAAUUUCUCCUCAACCGAUGGUUCUUCAAAUUUCUCUUGAAUAACUGGUUCUUCAGGUUUUUCUUCAACUGCUGAUUCUUCAAGAUUUUCUUCAACAUUUAAAGAUUGAGCAACAUCAUUACUGGUAUUGCAUGGAAUUUCACUGCCAUUUUUGCUGUUCAAGUCUACAACUAGCAUAUUCUGCAAAAGAGUUUAAUGUUUCACUUAGUCUUUCAAUAAAGAAGCAGACGUGAAUCAUUUCACAUACAUAACUAAUAAUAUGGAUAGCUAAUAAUAUGGAUUAACUUUUAUGACAGAUUUUCCACAAGAGCUACCUUUUCAGGUUUCUCCUCUUCAAGUGAUGGUUUCUCUUCAAAUGAUAGUUCAUUAGGCGUUUCUUCCUGUGUUGGUUUUUCAUGUGCUUCUUCAGUUACUGGUUUUUCAGGUUUCUCCUUAGUUGUUGGUUCUUCGCUUGUCUCCUCAGCUGAUUGUUCUUCAAGCUUCUCUCCUGUUGUUGAUUUUUCUGGUUUCUCUUCAAUUAUCGGUGGUUCAGGUUUUUUCUCAACCGGUGAUUCUUCUGGUUUCUCCAAAACCAUUGAUUCUUCAUGUUUUUUUUCAACUACUGACUCUUCAGUGUUUUCCUCAACUGAUGCAUAGUCAGCAAUAUCGUUGUUGGUAUUGCUUGGAAUUGCAUUGUCUAUCUUGUCCUUUGAGUUUACUUUUGGCAUAUUCUGCAAUGAAGUUUCACGUAGUCUUUCAAUAGAUAAACAAAUGUAAAUUUGUUGCACAUAUAAAAGCUAAUAUGAUGGAUAAAAUUUGUGCCAGUGUUUAAUCCUCACCUUCUCCUGAAGAGCUUCCGCUUCAAGUUCCUCCUCUUCAAUUGCAGGUUUUUCAUCUUUCUCUCCAACAACUAGUUCUUCAGGUUUCUCUUCAAGUGCCAGUUCUUCAGGUGUUUCCUCCUUUGCCAGCUCUUCAGGUGUUUCCUCCUUUGCCAGCUCUUCAGGUGUUUCUUUAGCUGCCGGUUCUUCAGGUUUCUCUUCAACCUCCGGUUCUUGUGGUAUUUCCUCUACUUGUACUUCAGAUUUCUCCUCAAUUGUUGGUUCUUCAGGUUUCUCUCUAACCGCUGCUGCAUUAGGUUUCUCUUCAUUGGCUGGUUCUUCAGGUUUUUCUUCAACUACCGAUUCUUCAGGAUUUUCCUCAAUGUUUGGAAAGGGAGCGACAUCAUUAUUGGUAUUGCAUGGAAUUUCACUGCCAGUUUUGUCAUUCAAGUCCACAACUAGUAUAUUCUGCAAAAGAGUUUAAUGUUUCACUUAGUCUUUCAAUAAAGAAGCAGAUGCGAAUCAUUACAUAUACAUAACUAAUAACAUGGAUAAACUUUAUGACAGUAGUUGACCCUUACCUUUUCCACAAGAGUUACUUUUGCAGGUUUCUCCUCUUCAAGUGCUGGUUUCUCUUCAAAUGAUAGUUCAUUAGGUGUUUCUUCCCGUGUUGGUUCUUCAUGUGCUUCUUCAGUUACUGGUUUUUCAGGUUUCUCCUCAAUUGUUGGUUCUUCGCUUGUCUUCUCAACUGAUGGUUCCUCAUGCUUCUCUCCCGUUGUUGAUUUUUCGGGUUUCUCUUCAGUUGUCGAUGGUUCAGUUUUUUUCUCAACCGCUGGUUCUUUUGGCUUCUCCAAAACCAUUUCCGAUUUCUCUUCAGUUGGUGGUUCUUCAUGGUUUUUUUCAACUACUGGUUCUUCUCUUUUUUCCUCAACUGAUGCAUAGUCAGCAAUAUCGUUGUUGGUAUUGCUUGGAAUUGCAUUGUCUGUCUUGUCCUUUGAGCUUACAAUUGGCAUAUUCUGCUAGAAAAAUAUAAAGUUUCAUGUAGUCUUUCAACAGAGAAACCAAUGUAAAUUUGUUGCACAUAUAAAGCUAACAAAUAUGAUGGAUAGACUUUGCGAGAGUGUUUAAUACUCACCUUCUCCGGAAGAGCUUCCGUUUCAGGUUCCUCUUCAAUUUCUGCUUUUUCAUCUUUCUCUUCAACAACUAGUUCUUCAGGUGUCUCUUCAACCGUUGAUUCUUCAGGUUUCUCUUCAAGUGUUAGUUCUUGAGGUGUUUCCUCCUUUGCUAGCUCUUCAGGUGUUUCUGUAACUGCCGGUUCUUCAGGUUCCUCUUCAGCCACCGGCUGUUGACGUAUCUCCUCUACUUGUACUUCAGAUUUCUCCUCAAUUGUUGGUUCUUCAGGUUUCUCCUUAACCGCUGGUACAUCAGGUUUAUCCUCAUUGACUGGUUCUUCAACUGCUGAUUCUUCUAGAUUUUCCUCAAUGUCUGGAAAGCGAGCAACAUCAUUAUUGGUAUUGCAUGGAAUUUCAUUUCCAGUUUCGUUAUUCGAGUCUACAAUUAGCAUAUUCUGCAAAAAGAAUUUAAUGUUUCAUUUAGCCUUUCAAUAAAGAAGCAUAUGCGAAUAACAGUACAUGCAUAACUAACAAAAUGGAUAAACUUUGUGAUAGUGCUUGAUCCUUACCUUUGCCAAAAGAGUUACCUUUUCAGGUUUCUCCUCUUCAACGGUUGGUUCUUCAUGUUUCUUUUCAAAUGCUAGUUCCUUGGUUGUUUCUUCCGGUGUUGGUUCCAUAGGUGUUUCUUCAGUUACUUGUUUUUCGGGUUUCUCUUCAAUUAUUGGUUCUUCGAUUGUCUUCUCAACUGAUGGUUCUUCAAGAUUUUCUCCCACUGUUGGUUUUUGGGGUUUCUCUUCUAUUGUUGGUUGUUCAGGAAUUUUCUCAACUGGUGGUUCUGCUGGAUAUUCCAAAACCAUUGAUUCUUCAGAUUUCUCUUCAAUUGAUGGUUCUUCAUGGGUUUUUUCAACUACUGGUUCUUCAAUUUUUUCCUCAACAGAUGCAUAGUCAACAAUAUCAUUAUUGGUAUUGCUUGGAAUUGCAUCGUCUGUCAUGUCCUUUGAGUUUACUUUUGGCAUAUUCUGCAAUAGAGUUUCAUGUAAUCUUUCAACAGAUAAACAGAUGUAAAUUUGUUGCACAUAUAAAGCUAAUAUGGUGGAUAAACUUUGUGACAGUGUUUAAUCCUCACCUUCUCCUGAAGAUCUUCCGCUUCAAGUUCCUCCUCUACAAUUGCAGUUUUUUCCUCUUCCCCUUCAACAACUAGUUCUUCAGGUGCCUCUUCAGCCGUUGAUUCUUCAGGUUUCUCUUCAAGUGCUAGUUCUUCAGGUGUUUCCUCCUUUGCCAGCUCUUCAGGUGUUUCUUUAGAUGCCGAUUCUUCAGGUUUCUCUUCAGCCAUCGGUUCUUGAGGUAUUUCCUCUACUUGUACUUCAUAUUUCUCCUCAAUUGUUUGUUCUUCAGGUUUCUCUUCAGGUUUCUCCUUAACCACUGGUACAUCAGGUUUCUCUUGAUUAACUGGUUCUUUGGGUUUUUCUUCAACAGCCGAAUCUUCAGGAUUUUCCUCAAUGUCUUGAAAGCAAGCAAUAUCUUUAGUGGUAUUGCAUGGAAUUUCACUGCCAGUUUUGUUGUUCGAGUCUACAAUUAGCAUAUUCUGCAAAAGGAAUUUGAUGUUUCAUUUAGCCUUUUAAUAAAGAAGCAGAUGUGAAUAACAUUACAUGCAUAACUUACAAAAUGGAUAAAUUUUGUGACAGUCCUUGACCCUUACCUUUUCAGGUUUCUCCUCUUCAACAGCUGAUUCUUCAUGUUUCUCUUCAAAUGCUAGUUCUCUGGGUGUUUCUUCCCGUAGUGCUUCUUCAUGUGCUUCUUCAGUUACUGGUUUUUCAGGUUUCUCCUCAAUUGUUGGUUCUUUGAUUGUCUCCUCAACAGAUGGUUCUUCAAGCUUCUCUCCCGUUGUUGAUUUUUCUGGUUUCUCUUCAAUUGCUGGUUGUUCAGGAAUUUUCUCAACAGCUGGUUCUUCUGGCUUCUCUAAAACCAUUGAUUCUUCAGCUUUCUCUUCAAUUGAUGGUUCUUCAUGGUUUUUUUCAACUAUUGGUUCUUCAGUUUUUUCCUCAACGGAUGCAUAGUCAACAAUAUCAUUGUUGGUAUUGCUUGGAAUUGCAUCGUCUGUCAUGUCCUUUGAGUUUACUUUUGGCAUAUUCUACAAUAAAGUUUCAUGUAGUCUUUCAAUAGAUAAACAGAUGUAAAUUUGUUGCAACAUAUAAAGCUAAUAUGGUGGAUAAACUUUGUGACAGUGUUUAAUCCUCACCUUCUCCCGAAGAUCUUCCGCUUUAAGUUCCUCCUCUUCAAUUGCUGUUUUUUCAUCUUUCGUUUCAACAACUAGUUCUUCAGGUGCCUCUUCAGCCGUUGAUUCUUCAGGUUUUUCUUCAAGUGCCAGCUCUUCAGGUGUUUCCUCCUUUGCCAUCUCUUCAGGUGUUUCCUCCUUUGCCAGCUCUUCAGGUGUUUCUUUAGCUGCUGGUUCUUCAGGUUUCUCUUCAGCCGCCAGUUCUUGAGGUAUCUCCUUUUCUACUUCAGAUUUCUCCUCAACUGUUGGUUCUUCAGGUUUCUCUUCAUUAACUGGUUCUUUGGGUUUUUCUUCAACAGCCGAAUCUUCAGGAUUUUCCUCAAUGUCUGGAAAGUGAGCAACAUCUUUAUUGGUAUUGCAUGCAAUUUCACUGUCAGUUUUGUCGUUCAAGUCUACAAUUAGCAUAUUCUGCAAAAAGAAUUUGAUGUUUCAUUUAGCCUAUUAAUAAAGAAGCAGAUGUGAAUAACAUUACAUGCAUAACUUACAAAAUGGAUAAACUUUGUGAUGGUCCUUGACCCUUACCUUUCCAGGCUUCUCCUCUUCAACGGCCAGUUCUUGUUUCUCUUCAAAUGCUAGUUCCCUGGGUGUUUCUUCCUGUAUUGGUUCUUCAUGUGCUUCUUCAGGUACUGGUUUUUCAGGUUUCUCCUCAAUUGUUGGUUCUUCGAUUGUCUCCUCAACAGAUGGUUCUUCAAGGUUCUCUCCCGUUGUUGAGUCUUCUGGUUUCUCUUCAAUUGCUGGUUGUUCAGAAAUUUUCUCAACAGCUGGUUCUUCUGGCUUCUCCAAAACCAUUGAUUCUUCAGCUUUCUCUUCAAUUAAAGGUUCUUCAUGGUUUUUUUCAACUACUGUUUCUUCAGUUUUUUCCUCAACGGAUGCAUAGUCAACAACAUCAUUGUUGGUAUUGCUUGGAAUUGCAUCGUCUGUCAUGUCCUUUGAGCUUACUUUUGGCAUAUUCUGCAAUAAAGUUUCAUGUAGUCUUUCAAUAGAUAAACAGAUGUAAAUUUGUUGCACAUAUAAAGCCAAUAUGGUGGAUACACUUUGUGACAGUGUUUAAUCCUCACCUUCUCCUGAAGAUCUUCCGCUUCAAGUUCUUCCUCUUCAAUUGCUGUUUUUUCAUCUCUCUCUUCAACAACUUGUUCUUCAGGUGCCUCUUCAGCCGUUGAUUCUUCAGGUUUCUCUUCAAGCACUAGUUCUUCAGGUGUUUCCUCCUUUGCCAGCUCUUCAGGUGUUUCUUUAGCUGCCAGUUCUUCAGGUUUCUCUUCAGCUGCCGAUUCUUGAGGUAUUUCCUUUACCUGUACUUUAGAUUUCUCCUCAAAUGUUGGUUCUUCAGGUUUCUCCUUAACCGCAGGUACAUCAGGUUUCUCUUCAGCUGCUGGUUUUUGAGGUUUCUCCUCUACUUGUACCUCGGAUUUCUCCUCAACCAUCGGUUCUUCAGGUUUCUCCUCAACCUCUGGUACGUCAGGUUUCUCUUCAUUAACAAGUUCUUCACUUUUUUCUUCAAUAGUUGAUUCUUCAGGAUUUUCCUUAGUGUCUGGAGAGUAAGCAACAUCAUUAUUGGUAUUGCAUGGAAUUUCACUGCCAGUUGUGUCGUUCGACUCUACCAUUGGCAUAUUCUGCAGAAAGAAUUUAAUGUUUCACUUUGCCUUUCAAUAAAGAAGCCGAUGUAAAUCAGAGGACAUACAUAACUAAAAAAGAUGGAUUAACUUUGUGAUAGUGUUUGACUCUUACCUUUUCGAAAAGAGUUAUCUUUUCAGGUUUCUCCUCUUCAACUGUUGGUUCUUCAUGUUUCUCUUCAAAUGCUAGUUCCUCAGGUGUUUCUUCCUGUAUUGGUUCCUCAGGUGUUUCUUCUUCUGUUACUUGCUUUUCAGGUUUCUCCUCAAUUGUUGGUUCUUUGAUUGUCUCCCCAAUCGAUGGUUCUUCAAGCUUUCCCCCCCCUGUUGGUUUUUCAGGUUUCUCUUCAAUUUUCGGUUGUUCAGGUAUUUUCUCAACUGCCGGUUCUUCUGCCUUCUCCAACACCAUUGAUUCUUCAGAUUCCUCUUCAAUUGAUGAUUCUUCAUGGGUUUUUUUAACUACUGACUCUUCUGUGUUUUCCUCAACUGAUGCAUAAUCAGCAAUGUCGUUGUCGGUAUUGCUUGGAAUUGCAUUGUCUAUCUUGUCCUUUGAGUUUAAUUUUGGCAUAUUCUGCAAUAAAGUUUCAUGUAGUCUUUCAAUAGAUAAACAGAUGUAAAUUUGUUGCACUCAUAAAGCUAAUAUGAUGGAUAAAAUUUGUGACAGUGUUUAAUCCUCACCUUCUCCUGAAAAACUUCUGUUUCAAGUUCCUCCUCUUCAAUUGCUGCUUUUUCAUCUUUCUUCUCUACAACUAAUUCUUCAGGUUCCUCCUCAACGGUUGAUUCUUCAGGCUUUUCUUCAAGUACUAGUUCUUCAGGUGUUUCCUCCUUUGCUAGCUCUUCAGGUGUUCCUUUAGCUGCCGGUUCUUCUGGCUUCUCUUCAGCCUCCGGUUUUUGAGAUAUCUCCUCUACUUGAACUUUAGAUUUCUCAUUAAUUGUUGGUUCUUCAGGUUUCACCUCAACCGCUGGUACAUCAGAUUUCUCCUCAUUAACUGGUUCUUCAGGUUUUUCUUCAACAGCCAAUUCUUCAGGAAUUUCCUCAAUGUCUGGAAAGUGAACAACAUUAUUCUUCGUAUUGCAUGGAAUUUCACUGCCACUGUUGUCGUUCGAGUCUAUAAUUAGCAUAUUCUGCAUAAAGAAUUCAAUGUUUUACUUAGCCUUUCAAUAAAGAAGCAGGUGUGAAUCACAAUACAUGCAUAUCUAACAAAAUGGAUAAACUUUGUGAUAGUGCUUGGCCCUUACCUUUUCUAAAAGAGUUUCCUUUUCAGGUUUCUCCUCUUCGAUGGCUGGUUCUUCAUGUUUCUCUUCAAAUGGUAGUUCAUUUGGUGUUUCUUCUCGUGUUGGUUCUUCAGGUGCUUCCUCAGUUACUGGUUUUACAGGUUUCUCUUCAACUGUUAGUUCUUCGAGUGUCUCCUCCAUCGAUGGUUCCUCAAGUUUCUCUCUUGCUGCUGGUUUUUCAGAUUUAUCUUCAACUAUCGGUUGUUCAGGUUUAUUCUCAAUCGCUGGUUCUGCAGGCUUCUCCGAAACCGCUGAUUCUUCAGAUUUCUCUUCAAUUGGUGAUUCUUCGUGUUUUUUUUCAACUACGGGUUCUUCAGUUUUUUCCUCAACUGAUGCAUAAUCAGCACUAUCAUUGUUGGUAUUGCAUGGAGUUGCAUUUUCUGUCUUGUUCUUUGAGCCUACAAUUGGUGAAUUCUGCAAAAAAUUUAAAAUUUCAUUUAGUCUUUAAAUAGAUAAACAGAUGUAAAUUCAUUGCACAUAUAAAGCUAAUAUGAUAGAUAAACUUUGUGACAGUGUUUAAUCUUCACCUUCUCCUGAAGAGCUUCCAUUUCUAGUUCCUCCUCUUCACUUGCUGGUUUUUCAUCUUUCUCUUCAACAACUAGUUCUUCAGGUGUCUUUAUAGUCUUUGAUUCUUCAGGUGCUUCUUUAUCUGCCCGUUCUUCAGGUUUCUCUUCAGCCACCGGUUCUUGAGGUAUAUUCUCUUGUACUUCAGAUCUCUCCUCAAUUAUUGGUUCUGCAGGUUUCUCUUCAUUGUCUGGUUCUUUGGGUUUUUCUUCGACAGCCAAUUCUUCAAGAUGAUUUUCCUCAAUGUCUGGAAAGUGAGCAACAUCAUUAUUGGUAUUGCAUGGAAUUUCACUGUCAGUUUUGUCGUUCAAGUCUACAAUUAGCACAUUCUGCAAAAAGAAUUUAAUGUUUCACUUAGCCUUGCAACAAAAAAGCAGAUGUGAACAACAAUAUGUGCAUAACUAACAAAAUGGAUAAAUUUUGUGAUAGUGCUUACCUUUUCAGGUUUCUCCUCUUCAACCGCUGGCUCUUCAUAUUUCUCUGCAAGUGCUGGUUUUUCAGGCUUCUCUUCAACUGUCAGUUGUUCAGUUUUCUUAUCAAUGACCAGUUCUUCAAGAUUCUCCGAAACAACAGAUACUACAGAUUUAUUUUCAAGUGCAAGUUCUUCAUGUGUUUCCUCUCCUGCAAACUCUUCAGAUGUUACUUUUGAUGUCGGUGCUACAGGUUUCUCUUCAAGUGCUAGUUCUUCAUGUGUUUCCUCCCCUGCUAGCUCUUCAGUUUUUUCUUUCGAUGUUGGUUCUUCAGGUUCCUCUUUAACCUCUGGUACAUCAUGUUUCUUUUCAAUAACUAAUUCUUCAGGUUUUUCUUCAACUUCAACUGCUGGUUCUUCGAGUUUUUUCUCAAUUUCUGGAAAGUGAGCAGUAUUGUUGUUGGUAUUGCAUGGAAUUUCAUUAUCAGUUUUGUCCUUAGAGUCUACAACUAGCAAAUUCUGCAAGAAGUAUUUAAAGUUUCACUUAGUCUUUUGUAGAUAAGCAGAUGUGAAUUGUUACACUUACAUAACUAAUAGGAUGGAUAAACUUUAUCACAGUGCCUGACCCUCGCCUUAUCCAAAAGAGUUACCUUUUCAGAUUUCUCUUCAAAUGCUAGUUCAUUUGGUGUUUCUUCCCGUGUUGGUUCUUCAGGUGCUUCUUCAGUUACCCUUUUUUCUGGUUUAUCUUCAACUGUUGGUUCUUCUAGUGUCUCCUCAAUCGAUGGUUCUUCAAGUUUCUCCCUUGGUGCUAGUUUUUCAGAUUUAUCUUCAACUGUUGGUUGUUCAUGUUUAUUCUCAACCGCUGAUUCUUCAGGCUUCUCCAAAACCGCUGAGUCUUCAGAUUUCUCUUCAAUUGUUGGUUCUUCAUGUUUUUUUUCAACUACUGGUUCUUCAGUUUUUUCCUCAACUGAUGCAUAAUCAGCAAUAUCUUUGCUGGUAUUGCAUGGAAUUGCAUUUUCUGUCUUGUUCAUUGGGUCUACUAUUGGCGAAUUCUGCAAAAAAAUUUAAAGUUUCUUUUAGUCUUUCAAUAGAUAAACAGAUGUAAAUUCGUUGCGCACAUAAAGCUAAUAUGAUGGAUAAACUUUGUGACUGUUUAAUCCUCACAUUCUCCUGAAGAGCUUCCAUUUCAGGUUUCUCCUCUUCAAUUGCUGGUUUUUCAUCAUUCUCUUCAACCACUAGUUCUUCAAGUGUAUCUUCAACCGUUGGUUUUUCAGGUUUCUCUUUAAGGGUUUCCUCCCCUGCUAGAUCUUCAGAUGUUUCUCUUUCUGUUGGUUCUUCAGGUUUCUCUUCAGCCUCUGGUUUCUUAAUUUUUUCCUCAAAUGAUUCUUCAGAUUUCUGCUCAACUGUUGGUAAAUCAGGUUUCUCUGGUUCCUCGGGUUUUUCUUCAACUGCUGGUUCCUCAACUUUUGCAAAGUUAGCAGCAUCGUUUAGGGUAUUGCAUGGAAAUUCUUUGUCAGUUUUGUUGUUUGAGUCUACAGCUAGCAUUUUCUGCUAGAGGAAUUUAAAGUUUCAGUUAGUCUUUAAGUAGAUAAGCAAAUAUGGACUGUUGCACAUACAUAACUAAGACAAUGGAUAAACUUUGUGCCAGUGCUUGAUCCUCACCUUUUCCAAGAGAGUUACCUUAUUAGGUUUCUCCUCUUUAACUGCUGGUUUUCCACCUUUCUCUUCAACUGCUAGUUGUUCUGUUGUUUCUUCAACUGUUCGUUCUUCAAGUUUUUCUUUGAAUUCUAAUUUUUCCGGUGUUUUUUCCCGUGUUGGUUCUUUUGGUGUUUCUUCAACUACUAGUUCUUCGAGUUUCUCUUCAGCUGCUGUUUUUUCAAAUUUCUCCUGAACCUCUGUUUCUUUCUCUUGCACAACUGGCUCUUCAGGGUUUUUUUCAACUUCUGGUUCUUCAUGUUUCUCUGUAACUGUUGGUUCUUUAUGUUUCUCUUCAAUCAUUGGUUCUUCAUGUUUUUCUUCAACUGCUAGUUCUUCAGAUUUUUCCUCUACUGCUGGAUGGUCAGCAACAUCUUGGUUUCCCUUCUCGAUUAAGUUGUUCCCGUGUUUCCCGCUCGUAUCUGAUUCAGCAUCAUCUAAUCUAGUUUCUUCGACAACGUUAAUAAAUGAGUUACCAAGCACAAAUUGUUCUUGUACCAUUCGACCGUCAUCCUUGUCCGAGCUAGUUGCUGAUUCUUUUGCAUUUUCUGGGUAGCCAUUUGAAGAAAUAUUUUCAGCUGGGCUGAUUUCUACUCUUUCAUCUUCUGUUUUCUCCCCCUGGUGGAAUGAACUCCCGAAGAUCUGUUCAUCUGACUUGUUUGGUGUAUCGACUGACACAUGGACCUCUAUUGAACUGCCAUUUUCUUCAACAGCCUUGGAAACUAAGGGUGAUGCAUAAAAAAUUUCACCCCCAGUGAUUCCAUAGUUACCUUUAGUCAGAUCCUUAAUACUUGCAACCUCUGAAGCUCUUUCAAAUUCAGAUUGUGAAUGGCCCUUCUCGUCUUUCUCCAUCUUCAGUUUGUCUGAUAUUGUAUACACUUCCCCUAGCAAAUUCUCUUUUUUUUCCUGCAUAAAGGAAUGAUUUUUGCUAUGUCGUUACAGAAUUAAGAGAAAAUGUGUUUAACUUAUCUAACAUUGGCAGAGCAGCACUGAAGUUACAACAGGAUAUUUGUCAGACUAACCCUGCGAUAUUGGAACUGCAUGUAUUAGCAAGAUCUCUGUUUUAUCAUUGAAAUGGAGUUACUAACCCAAGCCUAGUGGUAAAAGCCGCAGAUGUCCCAACAUAGGACCUAUUCAGUAAACCCAUGUUUGAGAAUCCCCCCAGAAAGAGUUGCUAUUACUCUUCCCUGUAUUAACCAAUUAAUCUCCAACAGGACCUAUUUACUCUUCGUAUAAUGUAUCAGAUAUUCUUCAUUGGCGUAAAGAGACUGCAACAGUAUGGAGGGAGGUGAUUAGGAAUGAUAUGGAGCAGUUACAGCUUACGGAGGACAUGACCCUUGAUAGGAAGGUGUGGAGGACGCGGAUUAGGGUAGAGGGUUAGGGGGUGGGAGUGCGUCGGUAUCAGUAGGGGAGCGUUCUUUUGUGUCUAGAGUUUCUUGUUCGUGGUGUUGUGGCUGUAGUAUUAUCUUGGGGCUAGCGGUGUUAGUUUAUUUUGCAUACCGUACUAGCUUAUAUGCACUUAUCUUUUGUGUUUGUUAUAUUGUUGGUUUAUUUUGCAUACCGUACUAGUUUACAUGUACUUAUCUUUUGUGUUUACUAUACUAUUAUCGGUCCUAAGCCGGGGUCUAUCGGAAACAACCUUUCUACCUCUCUACCUCACCUGAGGUAAUGGUAUGGUCUGCGUACACUCUACACUCCCUAGACCCCACUAUGUGGGAAUAUACUGGGUAUGUUGUUGUUGUUGUUGUUGGCGUAAAGAGACUGCAGUAUUAAACAAUAGGAAAAACAAUGCAGGAAUACUUCUACCUACAAUAUUUGAAGUUUGUGAAAAGUCGAUGAGAUACUGUUUAUUGCAUGUACAAGUGAUGUGUUAGUGGCUUCUAAAGAAAGAUAAAUUUUGAGUUAUCAGUUGGGUAAAUACAGAUUAGUUCGUCAGUUGGGGGCUUAAGUUAUUUACUUCUGAGAGUAUAUAUAUUAAUUACCAGUAGCAUGUUUCUAGAUUAGCUUGAUGUGACAAAGAAGUUAUAUAGAGAAUUUGAAGUGUUGGUGUCAAACAGUCAUGAUAAUCCAAUUACCUCUAACAUUUUCCGUUAAGUGUUUCUAAAAUAUGAGAAUAUUGAUUUGAAAUGUAUAUUUAUAAUUUCUCCAUGUAAGAACUUGAGUGGAACAAUUCUCCUUCCAGGCUAACUAGAUGUCGUCUCACACAAUUAAAAUGAGGAACACGUUGUUGUUCUAAGCUCAUGUUCGCUCCUCAAAACUAACACCUCAGACCAUACUAAACUUCAUUUCAGAAUAUGACAGCUAAUGUUAAAAUGAAGUAUUCACUUUCUCCUUGCUAAAGCUACCACAAUCUGUUAUGGAGUCGGGGCAAUACAAUUAACAAGAAAAUGAAUCUUUAGUUACACCCAAACUCAGCCUUUGUUUCCCUAUAGUUCUCUUUCGACCACAAGCUAUAAUUUUCUUUUAAUUAAACCAGUAUCUUUCAAUGCUAAUUUAUUUACGAAGAGUUUUUUUGAAAGUCAGAUUUCAUUAAUUCGUUUCUGUGCUAAUUUAAGUUUUCCCUAGGUAUUCUUUUUGUCAAUAUCUAUAUUCUAUAGUCUUUUGGAGAGGGUCAAGUUUUCAGUACUACAUUAUUAAAGGUGAGUAGUUGAGAAUUAAUAAUUGUGCUGAUUUGUUUCUGUGCCAUUUCUUUUUAGGCUAGCUUUGGAUGGCUUCAGGAGGAGUAGAGGUAGGCGAAAGAAAUACUGGAGGGAGGUAAUUAGGUAGGACAUGAAGUUGUUUCAGCUUACUGAGGACAUGACCCUAGACAGGAAGGUGUGGAGGUCGUGGAUUAGGGUAGAAGGCUAGUGUGAGUGGGUGGGUUGUGGCUAGGUGUUAGUAGAGUUUGGGUGUGAUAGGUGUCUUAGGUCUGUGAAUGUGUGUGACUACUACAUGGGUAUCCGUUUUCCUUAUUUCUUAUUACGUAUUGUUCGUUGUUCUCUUAUUUUCUUUUCUCGGAUAUCUAGUGUUAUUAUUUCUUACCUUUUAUUUUGUUAUGCUACCCAUCCAGUUUUAUAUUUCAUUACGAUCUUGGUAUAUUAUUCUAUAUCUUGAGCCGGGGGUCUAUCGGAAUCAACCUCUCUACUUCCUCGGAGGUAGCGGUAUGGACUGCGUACAUUUUACCCUCCCCAGACCUCACUUUGUGGGAAUACACUGGGACUGUUGUUGUUGUUGUUGUUGUAUUACCCCUCCAUACAUACACAUAUAUAGAAGUCAAGUUGCUAUUGCCUAAGAAGAAGAUCAACUAAAAUAUAGAACAUACAGCCAGGAACUUGUAUGUUAUCUCAGGAUCGAGUUUUUAUUGUAAAAUAAACAAUUUGAACCAGUUGAAUAUCUACUAAUUGUAGAAAUAACAUACAAGUUCCGAAAAUAGGAAACCUCUAUUAAAUGAUGGGCAAAUCUAAACAAAUUUUCUUUUUUCAUCGAAGACUGCAUGGCAGUAAUUUUAGAUGAAGACGGUAACCCUUAAUUCGGUUCUUUAGCGACCAUCUUUGUGGUUUGAAGAAAAUUGGUAAUGAUCUGGUAAAGUUAUUUCACUAGCAUACUUCAUAUUACACAGUUGUUUCAGAUAUGAUCUCUGAUCAUGCAGUGUCUUUUUUCUCAGAAAAAGGUCUUUUCACAUACAUGAAAGCAAUCUUGACUACUGAAAAAAAGAUGUAGAAGUAACUGUUGCGGCUAAUGGAAAUGAUAAACACGCAAAAUGAUGAAGUAUCAUGCUCACAUAAAGUAAAACAAGUGAGUUAACUUACGCUUUUGUUCUCUGGUAUUUCAGCUAUGUAUUCCAAUUCUCGUGAGCUGAUCGCUGAAUUGCUGUGUUUACGUUUUCUCAACCUCCCUAAAGACUAUCAGAGUGUGUUUUGUACAACUGAACUGGACUGAAAAUUCUCAUAGCUAUAAGUAGAGAUUCUCUAAGUAUGUCGAUGCAGGAUUACAAUAGUUAUAUAAUUAUUAAUUGAUGACCAUGUUGUUAAAGUAGAUAGAAAAUGACAAAUCCACUUGCUAAUCCUACUAAUAUUAUGAGUUGGAAAUAGACGUGGUCCUUUUGAAUGAUGAGUAGUCACAUGCCCCUCUAGUAUAGCUUUUCUAGUCAUCAAACAGUCAGAUAAUUGUUUCUAAUUUAUAACUGCAGGGAUUGUGCUGCUGACAAGAAGAAACUGCCACAAGAAUUUACUGUUCACUUCAUCCCAG